CUAAGAGCAAAUGGUGGAUGCCUUGGCUAGUAGAGGCGAUGAAAGACGUGCCAGGCUGCGAUAAGUCUCGGGGAGCCGUCAAGGGGCUUUGAUCCGGGAAUUUCUGAAUGGGGCAACCCAGUAUAUAGUGAUAUAUACUACCGCAAUGCGGAGCGAACGUUGGGAAUUGAAACAUCUUAGUACCAACAGGAAAAGAAAUCAAACGAGAUUACGCUAGUAGCGGCGAGCGAAAGCGUAAGAGGGCAAACCACUAGCUUGCUAGUGGGGUUGUAGGACUGCAAUAUAGACUUAAACAAUCUAAUAGAAUAAGUUGGAAAGCUUAAGCAUAGAGGGUGAUACUCCCGUAUAUGAAAGUGCGUUUAUACUUAGCAGUAUCCUGAGUAGGGCGGGACACGUGUAAUCCUGUCUGAAGCUGGGUAGACCACUAUCCAACCCUAAAUACUACUACUAGACCGAUAGUGCACAAGUACCGUGAGGGAAAGGUGAAAAGAACUGAGGUGAUCAGAGUGAAAUAGAACCUGAAACCAUUUGCUUACAAUCAUUCAGAGCCCUAUGAUUUAUCAGGGUGAUGGACUGCCUUUUGCAUAAUGAGCCUGCGAGUUGUGGUGUCUGGCGAGGUUAAGGAAACCCGGAGCCGUAGCGAAAGCGAGUCUUAAUAGGGCGUAUAGUCAGAUGCUGCAGACCCGAAACGAUGUGAUCUAUCCAUGAGCAGGUUGAAACUGGUGUAAGAGCCAGUGGAGGACCGAACAGACGGCCGUUGAAAAGGCUCCUGAUGACUUGUGGAUAGGGGUGAAAGGCCAAUCAAACAUCGUGAUAGCUGGUUCUCUCCGAAAUAUAUUUAGGUAUAGCGUUGUGUAGUAACUUUGUGAGGUAGAGCACUGAAUGGGCUAGGGCAUACACCAAUGUACCAAACCCUAUCAAACUCCGAAUGCGCAAAGUGUAAUCACAGCAGUCAGGCGGCGAGUGAUAAAAUCCGUCGUCGAGAGGGGAACAACCCAGACUAACAGCUAAGGUCCCUAAAUCUCAUUUAAGUGGAAAACGAUGUGGAGUUACUGAAACAACCAGGAGGUUGGCUUAGAAGCAGCCAUCCUUUAAAGAAAGCGUAAUAGCUCACUGGUCUAGUGAUUCUGCGCGGAAAAUAUAACGGGGCUAAAAUGAGUACCGAAGCUUUAGACUUAGUUUUUAACUAAGUGGUAGGAGAGCGUUCUAUUCAGCGUUGAAGGUAUACCGGUAAGGAGUGCUGGAGCGGAUAGAAGUGAGCAUGCAGGCAUGAGUAGCGAUAAAAGGGGUGAGAAUCCCCUUCGCCGUAAACCCAAGGUUUCCUACGCGAUGCUCGUCAUCGUAGGGUUAGUCGGGUCCUAAGCAAAGUCCGAAAGGGGUAUGCGAUGGAAAAUUGGUUAAUAUUCCAAUACCAAUUAUUAUGUGCGAUGGAAGGACGCUUAAAGUUAGUGGAGCUAGCGGAUGGAAGUGCUAGUCUAAGGGCGUAGGUUGAGUUAUAGGCAAAUCCGUAACUCUCUAUCCGAGACCUCAAAGGCUCUUGACGCUCUUCGGAGUAGAUGGAGAAUCCAUGAUACUAUCGAGCCAAGAAAAGUUUCUAAGUUUAGUAAUAAUUGCCCGUACCGUAAACCGACACAGGUGGGUGGGAUGAGUAUUCUAAGGCGCGUGGAAGAACUCUCUUUAAGGAACUCUGCAAAAUAGCACCGUAUCUUCGGUAUAAGGUGUGCCUAACUUUGUAUUAAGAUUUACUCCCAAAGCAAAGAAGGUUACAACAAAGAGUCCCUCCCGACUGUUUACCAUAAACACAGCACUCUGCUAACUCGUAAGAGGAUGUAUAGGGUGUGACGCCUGCCCGGUGCUCGAAGGUUAAUUGAUGGGGUUAGCAUUAGCGAAGCUCUUGAUCGAAGCCCGAGUAAACGGCGGCCGUAACUAUAACGGUCCUAAGGUAGCGAAAUUCCUUGUCGGUUAAAUACCGACCUGCAUGAAUGGCGUAACGAGAUGGGAGCUGUCUCAAAGAGGGAUCCAGUGAAAUUGUAGUGGAGGUGAAAAUUCCUCCUACCCGCGGCAAGACGGAAAGACCCCGUGGACCUUUACUACAGCUUGACACUGCUAUUUGGAUAAAGAUGCGCAGGAUAGGUGGGAGGCUUUGAUCCAUAGACUCUGGUUUAUGGUGAGCCAUUGUUGAGAUACCACUCUUCUUUAUUUGGGUAGCUAACUAGCCUAAGUUAUCCUUAGGUAGGACAAUGUCUGGUGGGUAGUUUGACUGGGGCGGUCGCCUCCCAAAGUGUAACGGAGGCUUACAAAGGUUGGCUCAGAACGGUUGGAAAUCGUUCGUAGAGUAUAAAGGCAUAAGCCAGCUUAACUGCGAGACGUACAUGUCAAGCAGAGACGAAAGUCGGUCUUAGUGAUCCGGUGGUUCUGUGUGGAAGGGCCAUCGCUCAAAGGAUAAAAGGUACCCCGGGGAUAACAGGCUGAUCUCCCCCAAGAGCUCACAUCGACGGGGAGGUUUGGCACCUCGAUGUCGGCUCAUCGCAUCCUGGGGCUGGAGCAGGUCCCAAGGGUAUGGCUGUUCGCCAUUUAAAGCGGUACGCGAGCUGGGUUCAGAACGUCGUGAGACAGUUCGGUCCCUAUCUGCCGUGGGCGUAAGAAGAUUGAGGAGAGUUGACCCUAGUACGAGAGGACCGGGUUGAACCAGCCACUGGUGUAUCAGUUGUUCUGCCAAGAGCAUCGCUGAGUAGCUAAGCUGGGAUGUGAUAAGAGCUGAAAGCAUCUAAGCUCGAAGCCAACUCCAAGAUGAAUCUUCUUUUAAGAGCUCUAGUAGACUACUAGUUUGAUAGGCUGGGUGUGUAAUGGAUGAGAGUCCUUUAGCUGACCAGUACUAAUAGCUCGUUUGCUUAUCUUA
rnacentral:rRNA from 1 species